rnacentral:rRNA from 1 species
GAGGAGGGUAAAGACGAGAAAGGAAAGGUUGAUCACCACGGUAGACGACUGGGCCGCUACCAACGAGGACGAAGACGGGCCAGACCUGCCCCAGCAGGAGGACCCUAAGCCCGCGCGGCCGUACGCAGAAGGAGAAUGCCUAAGAGGCAGCCACUACCGUCUGCGACGACACGCACCAGUCAACGGACCCCAAGUAAGUCCCGCCGCAAAGGCGAGGCGCCGAGCGGCCGGCGAAGCAAGGCCGCACGACAGAUGUAGCUGCCUUCUGCCGUCACGUCCGCUAGAGAGGCAGGUGAGGCCACUAGGUGACUUGUCGCUGAUGUAGCUGUCUGCUGUCGGGAACUUCAAGAUGCUGCCGCUUCUUUGGUAUCGCCUGCCAGUGCUGUCGGUGGGCAGUAACCGUUAUAGUACCGGCAGCGUGCUCUUACACAGGUACGUCCCAAGGGUACGCUACGCAGUUUCAUGUACCGGAGCGGUGCGCUCGCUGCGCAGGCGUGAUAGGAGGUGGUAGUCCGGGCCGUGUAAGACGAGCUCGGUCAUUGGAACGCCGACGGGUCUAGCAGCCGUCAGGCGGCAGGACGAGCAGAAACACCUCUCGACGAGGAGCGUGUGCGAGAGGCAGCACGCAGGUCUUAGGCCGCUGCCGGCACACGGCCUCGUAGGGAGGAGGCCGCGGGUGAGUUGGUGCUACUGGACGGACGCGCAGUGGUGGAGCUUUGGCAGGCGCCGUCGGCACGCUCGGGCAGACGCCGCUGGUACGGGCCGACCUGAUGGUUCUCCUUGCUGUGCUGCGGCAAAAAUGACCUAGAGUGCACCCCGGACGCAAGAAACCGACACAACGCACUCGAACCACCCACCCGCACAAAGCACAGCCACUCCGCACACCGAUAUACGGCUCUGCGUCGGCCGAGCGGUGGCCACAGGGAAGCGGCCGAGUAGCGGCAUGCACUGGUGACGGGUCGGCGACUUCGGCGGUUCCAGCAUGGCGCAGGACGGGGUGGGUGUCUGGUCGGGUAGCGAAGAGAACGCCGGCGGCGGCUAUAGCCCCGGUCGCAACGGUCCCUUUCGUUCCUCUUUUUCUUCUGGUCCUCCUUCUUGUCUUCCUUCAGCCGUAGCAAGCGCACGGAAGACUUGCGAGACGAAACGUUGGCCUUCGGCGGCUGGCGGCCGUUCGCCGCCCCCCAGCGCCACCUGUUCCUCCUCGUGCGGGUAGCUCGAUCCUACUACCGCUCCUACUGGUUACGAUCGCCCUCUCUCCCUGUCCAGUUCCUCUCGUUGCUCGGGUUGAGGCUGGACAAGCUCGAACUCUCGAACGGCGACCGCGACCUGCUAUGUUAUACAUAUACGGUUGUGUGGUAGGAGUCUAUAACGAAACCCAAACCACCAAAUUGGUGAUUUUCUUUGUUUGUCUCGAGGUAGCAGUUCUUUGGUGGUGGCUCAACGAACGGCCUUAGUUACCGCUGGUGGUUCUUCUCCCUCUACCACAAGAAGCUGCACCUCCGACGCGUCAGGGGCAGCGACGGGCCGCUCACGUCGGAGGACCUCAAGCGGCGGUAGGAACAGACGGGCGCGGCGGAGCAGCUCAGACGGCCGGCGCGUGAGGGCGGACGCCCUUACCGACGGCCGCUCGCCUCGGUCCCCUACGACUCUACGCCUCCGCGUCUCGACCGGGCCUCGAGGAAGUAGGACGGCAGGGACACGCGCCGCUCCGCUCUCUUCCUCUUCCUCUUCUCUCCUCAACGUUGGCUCUCUUUCCCCUACCCACACACCUCCCCUCGUGCACCCACCCGGUCCUUCCCUUUCCCUGCCCUCUCUGCGACCGUCCACCCGGACGCGUACGUUUUCCGUUUGUGGCCGCAGGGGUCGACGAGGGGGCCCUCGACCCACACCCCACCCGCGCGGCCGGCAUUGUAAGCGGUUUAGGCCGAUUUUUACUCGAGAACCCACGGACUGACCCUUCUAAAAAAUGUCGGCCGCGAUUUUUUACCCCCUAUAUCGUCCCCUGACAAGCCGUCGUCGGAUCGAAGGUUUAGGAGAUUUAGACACCUCCUCAACGUGGCUUGUCAGUUUGAGGUCCUUCGAUCGAAGGGUCUAGACUCCUACGGGCUGCACGUUUUUUGACCUUCUUAUCUUUAGGGGUUAAGAAGGGAGGUUUAGGGAUCAAGAGCGGCGGCGGCACGGGUAGGACGGGAGAGCGGCGGCGCGCGGGUAGGACGGGAGAGCGGCGGCGCGCGGGUAGGACGGGAGCGGGGGCUGCUGGUGACGCGGUACAGAAGACGAUCAAGACGGGACAGACCAGAGGCGCCGGCCUGUCACCACCACGGUGAGUAGGGUACAGGAGCGACGGUCCGCUGUCACUCCAUGAUGCAAAGCUUGUGUCUCCUAGUGCUCCCGACCCACAAGAUAUCUACAGGGUUAGUGAGACGAUGACCCACACUAAAGACCAAAACCCUCUACCUUAUACAACGCAUGGAUCAUCUACGAGUAACAAACCUAUGUGUUGGACUUAACCCCGUCCCCGUGGCAGCCCCGCUGCUUGUCCUCUGUACCGCUGCCGCGGAGGAGAAGUGGUGGCGCUCUUCUUUGGGGAGGUGCGGCUGGUGCCGCUGCUGGUGCGGCGUGGUGCCGCUGCUCGUGCGGCGUGGUACGGCGUGGAGGCAGCGGAAGAGGCGGCCAAACUAGCAGAGCUUGUCCCCUCCACCUCUGCCCCCUCCUGACCCCCUAGACAGACUAUUGAACCCCCCACCCGAUGUUUAUACGGUAGCCCAGCGAGGAGGAGCGCUGUGGACCGCGCGCCUGACCCUCGGCCUGCCAGUUGUCCACCAGUUGUCCGCCGCUUUUCACUCUAGACCUCAACCGGAUUAAAUACUUCAUUACGGUGGCGGUUCACUAAGUGCAUUGCCAAGCAACGGAAAAGGGAGGCUAGACCCGGUUCGGGUGAGAGAGAGGGGAGGACAGAUGGAGAACUCGGCUGACCCGAGGUCGGGCGGGUCCGUCCGACCGGACGACCGCACU